GUUGAUCCUGCCGGAGGCGACCGCUAUUGGAAUUCGAUUAAGCCAUGCGAGUCGAGAGCCAUAAUGGGCUCGGCAUACUGCUCAGUAACACGUGGAUAACCUGCCCUGUUCUAGGGGAUAACCUCGAGAAAUUGAGAAUAAUACCCUAUAGUCCACUACGCCUGGAACGGUGAGUGGAUCAAAGCUCCGGCGGAACAGGAUGGGUCUGCGGCAUAUCAGGUAGUAGUGGGUGUAAUGGACCCACUAGCCUUCGACGUGUACGGGUUGUGGGAGCAAUCGCCCGGAGAUGGAUUCUGAGACACGAAUCCAGACCCUACGGGGUGCAGCAGGCGCGAAAACUUCACACUGCAGGAAACUGUGAUGAGGGAAUUCCAAGUGGCUAGACAAAGUCUAGUCUUUUUGUAACUUUUAAUCGGUUACAGAAUAAGGGGUGGGAAAGACCGGUGCCAGCCGCCGCGGUAAUACCGGCACCUCAAGUGGUCGUCGCUUUUAUUGGGCCUAAAACGUCCGUCGCCUGUUUGGUACAUUCGU
rnacentral:rRNA from 1 species